ACUUUAAUUGAAGAGUUUGAUCAUGGCUCAGAUUGAACGCUGGCGGCAGGCCUAACACAUGCAAGUCGAGCGGUAACAGAUUGAUAGCUUGCUAUCAAUGCUGACGAGCGGCGGACGGGUGAGUAAUGCCUGGGAAUAUACCCUGAUGUGGGGGAUAACUAUUGGAAACGAUAGCUAAUACCGCAUAAUCUC
rnacentral:rRNA from 1 species